rnacentral:rRNA from 1 species
AGAGUUUGAUCCUGGCUUAGGAUGAACGCUGGCGGCGUGCUUAAUACAUGCAAGUCGAACGGAGAUAGUAGCAAUAUUAUCUUAGUGGCGAACGGGUGAGUAACGCGUUGGUGACCUGCCCCGAAGAGAGGGAUAGCAGUUCGAAAGGACUGAUAAUACCCCAUGUGGUUGUCGGUUUUUAGAAUCUGAUAACUAAACGGCGAAAGUCGCUUCGGGAGGGGCCUGCGUCCCAUCAGCUAGUUGGUAGGGUAAUGGCCUACCCAAGGCUAUGACGGGUAGGGGACCUGAGAGGGUGGCCCCCCACAAUGGAACUGAAACACGGUUCAUACACCUACGGGUGGCAGCAGUAGGGAAUAUUGGUAAUGUGCGAAAGCGCGAACCAGCAAACCGCCGCGUGCACGAUGAAGGCCUUCGGGUCGUAAAGUGCUUUUAGAGAGGAUGAGGAAGGACAGUACUUUCUGAAUAAGCCUCGGCUAACUACGUGCCAGCAGCUGC